UAGAGAUCCACCAUACAGAUGAGGAUCAAAUAAAGAACACAGAGAGCUCUCCAACUACUGACUAUCGAAAAGAUCCCAGCUAUGAGAAUGUUUUGAUAUCCUGUCAAAAUACAGAGGGGUCUUAUGUAAACCCUAUUUCCACAAAUUACUAUAAUUAUG